rnacentral:rRNA from 1 species
AACGAACGCUGGCGGCAUGCCUAACACAUGCAAGUCGAACGAAGCCUUCGGGCUUAGUGGCGCACGGGUGCGUAACGCGUGGGAAUCUGCCCUUGGGUUCGGAAUAACAGUUGGAAACGACUGCUAAUACCGGAUGAUGUCUUCGGACCAAAGAUUUAUCGCCCAGGGAUGAGCCCGCGUAGGAUUAGCUUGUUGGUGAGGUAAAGGCUCACCAAGGCGACGAUCCUAGCUGGUCUGAGAGGAUGAUCAGCCACACUGGGACUGAGACACGGCCCCAGACUCCGUACGGGGGGCGA